AUACGGAGGAUCCGAGCGUUAUCCGGAUUUAUUGGGUUUAAAGGGUGCGCAGGCGGCCAUUUAAGUCAGCGGUUAAAUCGUGGGGCUCAACCCCAUUCUGCCGUUGAUACUGGGUGGCUUGAUUGCGGUCGAGGUUGGCGGAAUUCGUUGUGUAGCGGGGAAAUGCAUAGAUAUGACGAAGAACACCGAUUGCGUAGGCAGCUGACCAGAUCGCAAAUGACGCUCAUGCACGAAAGUGCGGGGAUCGAACAGGAUUAGAUACCCUGGUAGUCCGCACAGUAAACGAUGAAUACUUGUUUUCGGCGAUAUAAUGUCGGAGGCAAAGCGAAAGCGAUAAGUAUUCCACCUGGGGAGUACGCCGGCAACGGUGAAACUUAAAGGAAUUGGCGGGG
rnacentral:rRNA from 1 species